rnacentral:lncRNA from 1 species
CUGCGGUCUCCCUAGCUGUUUCUUGAAGCUCUGCAUAAGCCUCGCCCGCGGCCGCCGGGUUGCGUCCGCACUUCUGCGCGCUGGCCCCUCCCUUGCUCCUCUCCCUAGCAGUCUCCAGGGUUUUACCGGGAGGACCUAGGCAACGGCCUGAGACUCCGAGACUCUAUGUUGAAGAUGCCUGGACUAACCUACUGAAGAUACGUGGUUUUACCAACAGCCAGCACCAAUAGGAAGAUAUGAAUGAAGCCAUCUGAGACCAGCCAUCUGGCAGCCAAACUGCCAACUGACUGCAAAUGCAUGAAUGAUCCCACUGACACCACGUAGAGCACAAAUGAGUUGCCUCCACUGAGCCCAGCCCAAAUUGUUAUCCUAUAAAAUCAUAAAAACAUAAACAGUUGUUUUAAGUCACUAAGUUUUGGAUAGUUUGUUAUACAACAAAAGCUAGCUGAAACAAAUGUAUUAGCUAGAGCAGCUGUGAAUGGCACUAUUUGCUUAGUUGAUUGGCUGAAAUUUGGACUCACUGGUAGGUUACAUUUAAUGGUGUUGAGUUGCCAGAAUUUCUCUGGAAUAAUGUAUAGGAAGGAUUCUAAUGGCCUAAGCCAUUAGAAUCUCUAAGGAGAUAGAAAUAAAGGAGUGAUUUAUUAUAUGUAACUGUGCCUCUUCCCUCACCACACUUGGUCCUGAAAGAGCCUAAGGAAUAGUUUCUUCUCUAAAGCAUUGAAAAAUGCUUUAAUGGGAGAAGCCCC